rnacentral:misc_RNA from 1 species
ACUAGUAUUGAAGUCCACGGGGAUCAGGCUUUCCGAAAGGAGGGUGGGGGGAUGUUUGGUUCCCCCUGCUUGGGCAGACUGGAGAGCAUUGUGUAGCCACUUUUGUUGGCUACGUUAUGUUUGGCCUCUGCUGAUCGAGCUUGUCACCUGAAUUCUACUACCCUUGCUUUUUGCGCACCCAUCGUUUCCUCGGUAGGCUUGCCUGCCAGUAGGACCAUUUAAAACCCUUUGUGAUUGCAAUCAGCGUCAGAAACAACGUAAUCGUUA